CGCCGCGGCGCGCCCGCACACCGGCGCGGCUCGGCUCGGCUCGGCUCUGCGCGGCGCGGCACGAGUGAAGCCCUUUUUGAAUUGCAUCCAGUUUCAUGACUCCACUAAAGACAAAUCAUACCACUGCAUGAAUAACUUCGGAGUGGAUUGUCUUUUGCAGUUCAUGUAACGAACGAGCGUCCGGGUCAUCCAAAUGGGCGAAUAGUUGAUGUAUCUGAGACUUGUUAAAGAAGUCAAGAUUUGAUUUCGUGUAACUGAAAUACAUCUGGGAAUGAUAUUUCUGAUAUGUGUGUAAAUGUGAAGAGAGUGGUGCCUAGUGUUUGCCUCUCUAUAGCCCCUCUACCUCAUGGCCUCAGGGGCAGCGAGAGAAAGACUCUACUUUCCCAGCCUGCCUGGUAUGUGGCAUUAGAUGCUACAGCAUUGUUCUUGCAAACAUAUGCUGCUUCAAGCCAGAAAAAAAUCUAUUGUGUACAAGGGGGUUGACUGGGGUCCUCAGGAAGAUGGCUUAGUGUAAGUGGUAAUCUGAAAACAUCGUUCUUGCAGAUCUUCAGCAUGACAUAUUGCCUUCAGUCGGGUACUCACUGUUGCAUGGUCUGCUGUGCUUUGGGCUGAACAGCAUUUUCACAAAUGUCCUGUUAUCAUUGCAGAAAUAUUUCAUAAGCCAUAUGCUGAGUGCAGCAAUACAGAAGACGACUCCAGUCAUGCAGAAAUACAGGGCUGGACAUAACACAAUGUAUGCUCGUAGUUGAUGGUCUUCCUUGUUUGUCUAUGGAAGAUACAGUUUUACUGGGGGGAGGAAAAACAGUCUUUGUCCCCUGCGUUAUUGCUGCUCCGUGAGCACCUGCAUCUGGCUUUGCGAUGGGGAAGCAACUUUCUAUCUUGGAUGUACCUACCUAGCUCUUUGCACAUCUGAGGGUUUGGACUCCAAAGCAGAACUUGCUGUAAAAAGUGUUAGCGUUUCAACUGAGUUAAAAUGCAUGAUAAGUAAGUGCAUGAGUCUGAUCAUCUGCAGGCUCUGGUGGAAUCUCCAGUAAAGGAUCUCAGACAGAAAGCCUGCCAGCCCCUCUUGUUGAUCUGUGAGAUCCAUGGGAGCCAGGAGCCAUGUGCACUGAGGUUUGUGCCUUUGCAGUAGCGAUAGUCUUGCAAAGGCUUGCUUCAUGUGGGAAUGGGAAGGUGUAUGGGGGGAUCUGCAGUAUGUGUAAUGAAUUGUAGCAUCACUUCAUUCAUACACACAAGGAUACAAGCCAGAAUGGAUCUCUACAGGAGAACUGGAAUAAAAUUGUGGGUUUCUGUGGAAAAUGUGCACACUUAGAAGAAUAGUAGUCCUGCUAUGCUAGUGAUAACAUAGGAGCAAAGCACCUAAGAGGGUCUAAGGUUUAGAGAAGGUGCUGGAUUUUGUAGGGAAUGUGAGCUGGCUUUUGUAACUGCAAGUCCUUUCAUCAUCGGUCUGGGAAAUGCAUUAACAUUUGCUUUGUUUCCAUGUGUGACCCUCAGUCUCCUUUGGUUUUUGCCACGUCUGUUUGAGUUGAACUUCUUCAGUUGUUGGGAAGUCAGGAAGCUGCAGACAGAAGGUGGAUGAGAAAGUAGGCAACCUCAGGGAGUGCAGAGAGUGAGUGUGAGGGGAAAGCUGGCAUUGCCAGCUCAGUUAAGCAAGUUCCUGUAGUCAAGAACAAUCCCAGAGGGUGCUCUGCUCCUGCAUUGCUCUCAGAACCAGUCUGUUAUUAUUUGCAUUAAUAUGUAUUUGUAGCAAUGUUAUUAAAUAUGCACUAUAAAUACACAUGAUGUGCAGGGCUAGUGUUUCCAAAACCACUUAGGUAUUAUGCAGGAGUAGUUUGUAACCAGCCAGGCUGGCUGAGAAAAUCAUUCCUAAACUGUGUUUCUAGCAGUGGCUUCUGCUGUUUGUACUGAGCAGACACUCGGAUUCAGUGGGGUUUCACUGGAUAUGAAGGUUUGUUGCAGAUUUCUCAUUUGUGAUAAUAGGACAUGCUAUCUUCAUCAGGAUAUUCUACAGAACAAUCUGUGUGCGUGCAAAGAACUGUAAAAUGUCAAGUGGUAUAUGGUAUUAAAUAUUAUGCAUAAUGAUUUUAUUACUGCUAAUUGUUUUUAGAGAAGUCUCCGAGUCUCCAUCCUGUUUUCUGACUCAUAACUGGUGAAUAUUCUUGAACGUCUAGUGAUGUUCCCUUGAAAAAAGCUGGAAAAGAUUGCCGAGGAGCUAAGUGAACCAGUUAGGCAUUUCCUUUGCCUUAAAAAAUGACCCAAGUAACAAGUAACAGCAUCGUAUUACCUUUCUUUUUGGGAAUGGUGGUGGAUAUUGGGGUCCCAGAGACUUUCCAACAUCAGUUCACCUGAUAAUGCAUUUGGACUUACAGUAGGUUUGGAUCCUUUGGGGUAAUUAACUUACCCUGUUGGUUAUAGAGUGUAAAGUCAACUUAGAAGAGAAAAUAAAGAACAGAAAGGACCUUCUGGAGUACACGUAA